UCAGGACUCAGCAUGGACAUGAGGGCCCCUGCUCAGCUCCUUGGGCUCCUGUUGCUCUGGUUACCAGGUGCCCGAUGUGACAUCCAGAUGACCCAGUCUCCAUCCUCCCUGUCUGCAUCUCUGGGAGACAGAGUUACUCUCACUUGCCAGGCCAGUCAGGGCAUUAGCAAUUAUUUAAGCUGGUACCAGCAGAAACCAGGAAAGUCUCCUAAGCUCCUGAUCUAUGGUGCAUCCAACAGGGAAGAAGGGAUCCCAUCGAGGUUCAGUGGUAGUGGAUCUGGAACAGAUUAUUCCCUCACCAUUGACAGCCUGGAGUCUGAAGACAUUGCAACUUAUUACUGUCAACAAUAUUAUGAUACCCCUCCCACAGUGAUACAAGUCAUAACAUAA